rnacentral:rRNA from 1 species
GAUGAACGCUAGCGGCAGGCUUAAUACAUGCAAGUCGAACGGUAAUCCCGACAGCAAUGUCGGGACAAGAGUGACGUACGGGUGCGUAACACGUAUGCAACCUACCUUGUACAGGAGGAUAGCUCGGGGAAACCCGGAUUAACCCUCCAUGAGAUCCCGAAACGGCAUCGUUUCGGGAUUAAAACUCCGGUGGUACAAGAUGGGCAUGCGUCUGAUUAGUUAGUUGGCGGGGUAACGGCCCACCAAGACGAUGAUCAGUAGGGGACCUGAGAGGGUGAUCCCCACACUGGCACUGAGAUACGGGCCAGACUCCUACGGGAGGCAGCAGUAGGGAAUAUUGGUCAAUGGAUGGAAGUCUGAACCAGCCAUGCCGCGUGCAAGGAAGAAGGC